rnacentral:misc_RNA from 1 species
AGAACAGUAAUCAAAGAAGUGUCGAAGAAAGAAAAGAAGAGUAUAACAGGGCACGAGCACGAAUAUUUAGUAGUAGCUCUAGUGGUGGUUAUGUGGGAAAAUCAGAAGUUGAACCAACAUUAACGGACAGUUUUCAACACCACUCUUUGGUUUCUACAAGGCAAGAUGGAAGAAGUGCAAACGAGCCAUCUGAAAUGUAUAGUGAAAGGGUUUUGAGUGAU